AUGGCAGAAAGGAAGCGAGGUCUGUCCGGGGAGAACGGGGAGCAGGACAGGCCGGCGUCCGCCUCCAAGCGGGUCCGGCCCGAGGGGCAGGGUCACGUGGCCGCCCUGGUCCUGGCGCGAGGAGGGAGCAAAGGCAUCCCCCUGAAGAACAUUAAGAUGUUAGCAGGAGUGCCGCUGAUUGGGUGGGUGCUGAGGGCGGCCAGGGACUCCGACAGGUUCGACAGUGUCUGGGUAUCGACAGACCAUGAUGAAAUCGAGAAGGUGGCGAAAGCCUGGGGUGCCAAGGUUCACCGGAGAAGCCCUGAGGUGUCCCGAGACUCUUCCAGCUCACUUGAAACCAUCCAGGAGUUUAUCAGGCUCAACCCAGAGGUGGACAUUGUGUGCCACAUGCAGGCGACGUCCCCGUGUCUCCACCCGUUCCACAUCCAGGAGGCCUUGGACAUGAUCACCAAGCAGGGCUACGAUUCGGUCUUCUCUGUCGUCAGGAGGCAUCAGUUCCGCUGGACGGAAAUUAAAAAAGGAUCUGAUGAGAGGACCGUACCUCUGAAUCUAGUUCCAACCAAAAGGCCGAGGCGUCAGGACUGGGACGGAGAGCUGUGUGAGAACGGCUCCUUUUACUUCUCAAAAAAACAACUAAUAAUGAGCGAAGGAAGUUUGCAGGGCGGUUCGGUCACUUACUAUGAGAUGCUGCCAGAGUACAGUGUUGACAUCGACGUGGACAUCGACUGGCCUGUGGCCGAGCAGAGGGUUCUCAGGUUUGGGUACUUUGGUCGCCACAAACCUGAGGUUGUACAUCUGAUGUUCUGCAAUGUUUCCGGCUGUCUGACUGAAGGAAGGAUCUUCCUGUCUUUGUCUGGAGAGGAGAUGGUGUCCAUUAACACCAGAGACACCGCAGGCCUCCGCAUGCUGAAGGAGGAGGGAGUAGAGGUCAUUCUGCUGGUGUCCCGUCUGGACCCCGUGGCCCAGUCCAUGGCUGAUAAACUGGCCCAGAGGACGGGCUGCCAGGUGCUCCAGGUGGGGGCGGAGCCACAGGAGGAUCUGAACGCACUGGUGGAGCAGAAGAAACUGAGCUGGAAAGACGUGGCCUAUAUGGGGAACGAUCAGCCUGAUGUGAAGUGUCUGAACCUGGCCGGUCUGAGCGCCGUACCCGGAGACGCUCCCGUCGUAGCUAGUAACGCAGCCAAGUACACCUGCCACAGCAAAGGAGGAAGUGGAGCCGUCAGGGAGUUCUGCGAGUACAUCCUGCUCCAGAAGAAAAAGGCCAAGUCCCAGGUGCAGCAGGACCGCAUCGACCGCCACCACUUCUGAUGUCCAAGCCUUUGAUAUGUCUGUCUGAACACAGGUCUGUUUACAGAAGACAUGAUCCAUACAGAUGCAUAUGAAGGUGCAGAAAUAUGAGUGGAAAUGAUUUCAGUUUUACUGUUUGAAAUCACUGAAUCAAUCAUCUUUAAGCUUGAAAGAAUGUUAUAAUGCAUAUAUAUCUGAAAAAAGAAUGACAGGACAAUGUGAAUCCUUUCAAUGUUAGCGCUCCACCACAUGAAGUCAAACCUGUUCUUUUUGUGCAGUAUGUGAAGGUAAAUCUGUGCUUUAUUUGAUUUCCGUUUUUAGGGGUGAAAGCUUUUAUCCUUAAUUAUUUCAUUUAAAUGACAUCCAGCUGUGCCUCUCAACACCAGUGUCCCUCAGUUGCAUCAAGUUUACCAGUAAAGACCGAAUAUUAACACGGAAUAGAGCCGCCCAUAGUACAGUUUGAGUGUUUCCCACUUGUAUUUCUCAAAUAUGACAUCUCCUCAUGAGUACAACUUGGUGAAUUAACAUAUUAGAGUCUAAAAUGCACUGGUACACAAACAAACAAUUUUUUUUUUUUUUAAUUAGACAUGCAUUUUAGAGGACUCAUCUAUUUCAUGCUAAUAUACUGCUGAUUACUGCUGUGUAUCGGCCAGAAUCUGACAAUACGAUACAAAUCACAAUACUAGGAUCAUGAUACGAUAUAUCACGAUGUAUCAUGAUAGUGUUAAAAAGGAAAUUUUU